GAUGAACGCUGGCGGCGUGCCUAAUACAUGCAAGUCGAGCGAACAGACGAGGAGCUUGCGCCUCUGACGUUAGCGGCGGACGGGUGAGUAACACGUGGAUAACCUACCUAUAAGACUGGGAUAACUUCGGGAAACCGGAGCUAAUACCGGAUAAUAUAUUGAACCGCAUGGUUCAAUAGUGAAAGACGGUUUUGCUGGCACUUAUAGAUGGAUCCGCGCCGCAUUAGCUAGUUGGUAAGGUAACGGCUUACCAAGGCGACGAUGCGUAGCCGAACUGAGAGGGUGAUCGGCGACACUGGAACUGAGACACGGUCCAGAGUCCUACGGGAGGCAGCAGUAGGGAAUCUUCCGCAAUGGGCGAAAGCCUGACGGAGCAACGCCGCGUGAGUGAUGAAGGUCUUCGGAUCGUAAAACUCUGUUAUUAGGGAAGAACAAAUGUGUAAGUAACUAUGCACGUCUUGACGGUACCUAAUAAGAAAGCCCCGGCUAACUACGUG
rnacentral:rRNA from 1 species